UACGUAGGGUGCGAGCGUUAAUCGGAAUUACUGGGCGUAAAGCGUGCGCAGGCGGUUGGCAAAGUCAGCUGUGAAAGCCCCGGGCUUAACCUGGGAAUGGCGGUUGAAACUAGGCGACUCGAAUCUGGCAGAGGGGGGUGGAAUUCCACGUGUAGCAGUGAAAUGCGUAGAGAUCGGGAGGAACACCCGUGGCGAAGGCGGCCGACUGGGCCGACUCUGACGCUGAGGCGCGAAGGCGUGGGGAGCGAACGGG
rnacentral:rRNA from 1 species